CACGUAGGGCGCGAGCGUUGUCCGGAAUUAUUGGGCGUAAAGAGCUCGUAGGCGGCCUGUUGCGUCCGCUGUGAAAGCCCGGGGCUUAACCCCGGGUCUGCAGUGGAUACGGGCAGGCUAGAGGUAGGUAGGGGAGAAUGGAAUUCCCGGUGUAGCGGUGAAAUGCGCAGAUAUCGGGAGGAACACCGGUGGCGAAGGCGGCAUCCUGGACCGACACUGACGCUGAGGCGCGAAAGCUAGGGUAGCAAACGGG
rnacentral:rRNA from 1 species